CAUGCUCGAGCAUCGAACUGUUGAUAUGCGAUCCUUUCAGUUUUUGGGCAAGCAUCGAUGCUUAUGUCCAAGAGAAAUCUCGGGUUCCUGUGCUGCAUACCCACGAUAGGGGAAUUCCAAUGUGAUGCUGUCUUGAUUUUCGCCCAUGUGACCCUUACGGGGCAUACGGUGGACAACGAAGCGCAUCUUGUGCCUCUAACAUGUCGGUAUUGACUGUUGAGAGGCAUGGGACGUCGCUCGUGCUCUAGGAUGCUGAACUACUUUAAGCGUGGCAGAGGGAUCCUUGUCCCUUGAUUAGCCCGAUGUCCCUGAUGCAUAAACGACUGAAAUGCCCGUUUCGAGGCCAAGGCAUGCUGCAUCGUCGGUUGCCACGGCCUGGUGCGGGCGUUGAAGUCCCUGAAGGAAUGC
rnacentral:misc_RNA from 1 species